GCCAGUGUGGCGCAGUGGGUAGCGCACCUGCCCAGUAAGUAGGAGACCCCAGUUCGAAUCCUGGUGCUGGCA